GCGUUGAAACACCGGUUCUCGUACGAUCACCAAAGUUAAGCAACGUUGAGCUAGGUCAGUACUUAGAUGGGCGACCGCUUGAGAACACCAGAUGCUGUAAG